rnacentral:tmRNA from 2 species
GGGGGUGUCACGGUUUCGACGGAAGGCGUGAAAGGUUUGGUUGCAUGCCGUGGUCUUGGAUCCACGUAAAAAGCCAAGAAAAAACAUAGUCGCCAACGACGACAUCGCGCUGGCCGCCGCUUAAUGCGGCCUCGAACCCAACUCCGAGCAUCGGGGGGUUGGGACCUCGAUCAUCCACCGCUGCUGGAUUUCAGGCAUGUCCGGGGCCUGCAAUCGAGAUUAACUGGACUCCCCGGUUGCGAACCCCGUCGGUGGGGGUCAAUGCCGGUAAAUCAAAUCACCGACUAAGCAUGUAGAGACCGGCUUGGAUCACUUUCGGACGCGGGUUCGACUCCCGCCACCUCCACCA